UACGUAGGGUCCAAGCGUUAAUCGGAAUUACUGGGCGUAAAGCGCGCGUAGGCGGCUUUGUAAGUUAGAGGUGAAAGCCCGGAGCUCAACUCCGGAACUGCCUUUAAGACUGCAUCGCUAGAAUUGUGGAGAGGUGAGUGGAAUUCCGAGUGUAGAGGUGAAAUUCGUAGAUAUUCGGAAGAACACCAGUGGCGAAGGCGACUCACUGGACACAUAUUGACGCUGAGGUGCGAAAGCGUGGGGAGCAAACAGG
rnacentral:rRNA from 1 species